UACGUAGGGUGCAAGCGUUAAUCGGAAUUACUGGGCGUAAAGCGUGCGCAGGCGGCUUUGCAAGACAGAUGUGAAAUCCCCGGGCUUAACCUGGGAACUGCAUUUGUGACUGCAUGGCUGGAGUUUGGCAGAGGAGACUGGAAUUCCUGGUGUAGCAGUGAAAUGCGUAGAUAUCAGGAGGAAUACCGAUGGCGAAGGCAGGUCUCUGGGCUGACACUGACGCUCAUGCACGAAAGCGUGGGGAGCAAACAGG
rnacentral:rRNA from 1 species